rnacentral:rRNA from 1 species
CCUCGAUGUCGGUUCAUCACAUCCUGGGGCUGUAGCCGGUCCCAAGGGUAUGGCUGUUCGCCAUUUAAAGUGGUACGCGAGCUGGGUUUAGAACGUCGUGAGACAGUUCGGUCCCUAUCUGGUGUGGGCGUUGGAUGAUUGAGGGGAGCUGCUCCUAGUACGAGAGGACCGGAGUGGACGAACCGCUGGUGUUCGGGUUGUCAUGCCAAUGGCAUUGCCCGGUAGCUACGUUCGGAAUCGAUAACCGCUGAAAGCAUCUAAGCGGGAAGCCUCCCUCAAGAUAAGAUUUC